UGAGCAACCUGCCCUUGACCCUGGAAUAACUGCUGGAAACNGCCCGCUAAA
rnacentral:rRNA from 1 species